rnacentral:pre_miRNA from 1 species
AAAACCCAAUUUUUUCGGCAACAUGAUUUCUUAGUAGAAACCAAAAUUUACUUUUUGUGCCAACAGGAUUUAUAAUAAGAAUUUAUGCAAACGGAUUUCUUUUAGAAGUCAAAUUUUGACAAGAUUGAUCAUCAUCGUUGGUGGGAAACACCAAGUUU